GACGAACGCUGGCGGCGUGCUUAACACAUGCAAGUCGAGCGGUAAGGCCCUUUCGGGGGUACACGAGCGGCGAACGGGUGAGUAACACGUGGGUGACCUGCCCUUAGCUCUGGGAUAAGCCUGGGAAACUGGGUCUAAUACCGGAUAUGACUCCAUAACGCAUGUUGUGGGGUGGAAAGCCUUGUGCGGCUAGGGAUGGGCCCGCGGCCUAUCAGCUUGUUGGUGGGGUGAUGGCCACCAAGGCGACGACGGGUAGCCGGCCUGAGAGGGCGACCGGCCACACUGGGACUGAGACACGGCCC
rnacentral:rRNA from 1 species